rnacentral:rRNA from 1 species
UAAUACGUAGGGGGCAAGCGUUGUCCGGAUUUAUUGGGCGUAAAGAGCUCGUAGGCGGCUGUCCACGUCGGAUGUGAAAGCUCGGGGCUCAACCCCGAGAGGCCAUUCGAUACGGGACGGCUAGAGGCAGGUAGGGGAGAUUGGAAUUCCUGGUGUAGCGGUGAAAUGCGCAGAUAUCAGGAGGAACACCGGUGGCGAAGGCGGAUCUCUGGGCCUUGCCUGACGCUGAGGAGCGAAA